UACGGAGGGUGCGAGCGUUGUCCGGAAUCACUGGGCGUAAAGGGCGCGUAGGUGGCACGGGUAGUCGUCGGUGAAAGCUCAGGGCUCAACCCUGAGUCGGCCGGUGAUACUCCCGAGCUCGAGUGUGGUAGAGGCCAAUGGAAUUCCGGGUGUAGCGGUGGAAUGCGUAGAGAUCCGGAGGAACACCGGUGGCGAAGGCGGUUGGCUGGGCCACAACUGACACUGAUGCGCGACAGCGUGGGGAGCAAACAGG
rnacentral:rRNA from 1 species